UGAGGAAUAUUGGUCAAUGGGCGAGAGCCUGAACCAGCCAUGCCGCGUGCAGGAAGACGGCCCUAUGGGUUGUAAACUGCUUUUAUACAGGAAGAAACACUCCCUCGUGAGGGAGCUUGACGGUACUGUAAGAAUAAGGACCGGCUAACUCCGUGCCAGCAGCCGCGGUAAUACGGAGGGUCCGAGCGUUAUCCGGAAUCAUUGGGUUUAAAGGGUCCGUAGGCGGGCAAUUAAGUCAGGGGUGAAAGUUUGCGGCUCAACCGUAAAAUUGCCCUUGAUACUGGUUGUCUUGAAUUACUGUGAAGUGGUUAGAAUAUGUAGUGUAGCGGUGAAAUGCAUAGAUAUUACAUAGAAUACCAAUUGCGAAGGCAGAUCACUAACAGUAUAUUGACGCUGAGGGACGAAAGCGUGGGGAGCGAACAGG
rnacentral:rRNA from 1 species